rnacentral:rRNA from 1 species
CGGUACGUACUGGCAUUGUUGGUUUCUCCCUUCUGACGAACCAUGAUGUCAUUUAUUUGGUGUUGUGGGGAAUCAGGACUGUUACUCUGAAAAAAUUAGAGUGUUUAAAGCAGGCUCACGCUUGAAUACAUUAGCAUGGAAUAAUGAAAUAGGACGUUUGAUUCUAUUUUGUUGGUUUCUAGGAUCGACGUAAUGAUUAAUAGGGAUAGUUGGGGGCAUUAGUAUUCAAUUGUCAGAGGUGAAAUUCUUGGAUUUAUUGAAGACUAACUACUGCGAAAGCAUUUGCCAAGGAUGUUUUCAUUAAUCAAGAACGAAAGUUAGGGGAUCAAAGACGAUCAGAUACCGUCGUAGUCUUAACCAUAAACUAUGCCGACUAAGGAUCGGAUGAUGUUAAUUUUUUAAUGACUCAUUCGGCGCCUUACG